GAUGAACGCUGGCGGCGUGCUUAACACAUGCAAGUCGAACGGAAAGGCUCCUGCUUGCAGGGGUACUCGAGUGGCGAACGGGUGAGUAACACGUGGGUGAUCUGCCCUGCACUUCGGGAUAAGCCUGGGAAACUGGGUCUAAUACCGGAUAGGACGAUGGUUUGGAUGCCAUUGUGGAAAGUUUUUUCGGUGUGGGAUGAGCUCGCGGCCUAUCAGCUUGUUGGUGGGGUAAUGGCCUACCAAGGCGUCGACGGGUAGCCGGCCUGAGAGGGUGGACGGCCACAUUGGGACUGAGAUACGGCCCAGACUCCUACGGGAGGCAGCAGUGGGGAAUAUUGCACAAUGGGCGCAAGCCUGAUGCAGCGACGCCGCGUGGGGGAUGACGGCCUUCGGGUUGUAAACUCCUUUCGCUAGAGACGAAGCGCAAGUGACGGUACCUGGAGAAGAAGCACCGGCUAACUACGUG
rnacentral:rRNA from 1 species